rnacentral:rRNA from 1 species
GCUUGCUCCACCGGAAAAAGAGGAGUGGCGAACGGGUGAGUAACACGUGGGUAACCUGCCCAUCAGAAGGGGAUAACACUUGGAAACAGGUGCUAAUACCGUAUAACAAUCGAAACCGCAUGGUUUUGAUUUGAAAGGCGCUUUCGGGUGUCGCUGAUGGAUGGACCCGCGGUGCAUUAGCUAGUUGGUGAGGUAACGGCUCACCAAGGCCACGAUGCAUAGCCGACCUGAGAGGGUGAUCGGCCACAUUGGGACUGAGACACGGCCCAAACUCCUACGGGAGGCAGCAGUAGGGAAUCUUCGGCAAUGGACGAAAGUCUGACCGAGCAACGCCGCGUGAGUGAAGAAGGUUUUCGGAUCGUAAAACUCUGUUGUUAGAGAAGAACAAGGAUGAGAGUAACUGUUCAUCCCUUGACGGUAUCUAACCAGAAAGCCACGGCUAACUACGUGCCAGCAGCCGCGGUAAUACGUAGGUGGCAAGCGUUGUCCGGAUUUAUUGGGCGUAAAGCGAGCGCAGGCGGUUUCUUAAGUCUGAUGUGAAAGCCCCCGGCUCAACCGGGGAGGGUCAUUGGAAACUGGGAGACUUGAGUGCAGAAGAGGAGAGUGGAAUUCCAUGUGUAGCGGUGAAAUGCGUAGAUAUAUGGAGGAACACCAGUGGCGAAGGCGGCUCUCUGGUCUGUAACUGACGCUGAGGCUCGAAAGCGUGGGGAGCAAACAGGAUUAGAUACCCUGGUAGUCCACGCCGUAAACGAUGAGUGCUAAGUGUUGGAGGGUUUCCGCCCUUCAGUGCUGCAGCUAACGCAUUAAGCACUCCGCCUGGGGAGUACGACCGCAAGGUUGAAACUCAAAGGAAUUGACGGGGGGCCCGCACAAGCGGUGGAGCAUGUGGGUUUAAUUCGAAGCAACGCGAAAAAACCUUACCAGGUCUUGACAUCCUUUUGACCACUCUAGAAGAUAGAGCUUCCCCCUUCGGGGGGCAAAGUGAACAGGUGGGUGCAUGGUUUGUCCUUCAGCUUCGUGUUCGUGAA